rnacentral:rRNA from 1 species
UACGGGGGGGGCAAGCGUUGUUCGGAAUUAUUGGGCGUAAAGAGCUCGUAGGCGGUUUGUUGCGUCGGCUGUGAAAUCCCGAGGCUCAACCUCGGGUCUGCAGUCGAUACGAGCAAACUAGAGUGUUGCAGGGGAGACUGGAAUUCCUGGUGUAGCGGUGAAAUGCGCAGAUAUCAGGAGGAACACCGGUGGCGAAGUCGGUUCUCUGGGACGGUACUGACGCUGAGACGCGAAAGCGUGGGGAGCGAACAGG